rnacentral:lncRNA from 1 species
CCAGAGCUGAGGCUGGGAGACCUUCGCUCAGCAGCCGACUCGUUGCCAUGCCAACCCGACCUGGCCCAUGCCCACCAACCUGGCCGGAGGGGAUGGAAAGAAUGACUGUCUUCUCACGGAGAGGGAUGAUGAUCUCAGACGUGCGGCCAGUGGUCUCUGCACCUCGUCACGAGCAGUGGGGGCCAGGCUGUUGUCCCAAGAUGCCAGGAUGCCCUGUGUCCACAGUGGCGAACCUCCCAGAUACGCAGCCUCCUCUGGUCUCCGCCAGCACCUGUCUGACCGUUGGGGAGGGUGGCGGGCGUGAGCGUCGAGGGUCCUGGUCCCACUGCGGCCCGGGUGCCCUCUUGGUGUUUCCCAUGUCCGGGGUGGACGGUUUGAUGUGCACAGCAUCCAGACGCCUUGAAUCCCACACAACGGACUCAGGUUCUGUUCUUUCCGGCACUGCGGUUGUGACCAGGAGCGAGACGCAGUCAGGCACUAACGGGUUUUCUUCGCGCUCACUCGUCUCCCUUUGAAACAAAGACAGCAGGCAUUGGGCCCGGACUGGUGGGCAGGGGCAUCUAGCUAGAACUUAAGGAUGUUAAAAAUCAAUUUAUUUUUAAGGCAUGGAGCCUGCUGCCCUACCAACCUCUGGUUCCUGGACCCUGUGCUGUCCCCUGAGCACAGGGGAUGUGUCCGAGGGACACACGGAGCCCCUAGGCCGCCAGCCGGCAGGGGCAGCGGGGAGCAUGGGAAAUGGAAGGGCUUUUGUUGAUCCAGUCUAGAAGUUCACAGCAAAGGUCCAGCGAUUUACCGGGUGACACGGACUCACACAGCGGAACGUGCAUCCGGGUAAGAACGGAAUUUUCUGAGUGGAGACAUCAUGGGGCAGAAGCACGUGUGAGAUCAAUACUGCAGUGAGCUCCCAGUCACAGCAGAAGCCGAGGCCGUCAGAACGCAUCUCUGUUGAGAAGAGUCACUACAAGACCGUGGGGUGAAGGCGACGUGGAAUUAAAAAACCAAACAGGAGAAACCCGCACCGCAGCCCGCCCUCUGUCUGUGCGGCCUGACAUCAGCCGGGAAACAAGGCGCCCAGGGUCACGUCGAAUUGUUUUGUGAGUCCUUUGAAUUUUCGUUGUGUUUUCUUAAAAAUCCACUGGAAACAUCAAAGCUCCUGAUGAAUGUUGGCCAGACUUCUGUUCCGUGGAGCUUUCGGUGGGCCACAGCUGCGGCCGAGAAAGCGUGGUCACUGGAGGCGCGAGACACCUUUCCAUAAAGGCAGGAGCAGCCGCGGAGGCCCGCACGGUGAGCCUGCACCGGGAUCCCGCUGUGGAAGAGUCUUCGGACGGAGCCCACGUUUUAGAAUUGGGUGUAUCUGUAUUCCGUGUCCAACUUGAAUGUGGUGGACACCAUCUAAGGCUUCAAAGCAUUUGGGUUUGGUGAGACGUUCAGAAGAACUCUCAAGACGACAGUGUUUGAUGAGUUUCGGCUGGUAAAAUAUUCUGUCGACAGGUGCUCCGAAUGGGCAAUUAAGGC